CAGUAGCCGCGGUAAUACGGAGGGUGCAAGCGUUAUCCGGAUUUAUUGGGUUUAAAGGGUCCGUAGGCGGACUUAUAAGUCAGUGGUGAAAGCCUGUCGCUUAACGAUAGAACUGCCAUUGAUACUGUAAGUCUUGAGUAUAUUUGAGGUAGCUGGAAUAAGUAGUGUAGCGGUGAAAUGCAUAGAUAUUACUUAGAACACCAAUUGCGAAGGCAGGUUACCAAGAUAUAACUGACGCUGAGGGACGAAAGCGUGGGUAGCGAACAGGAUUAGAUACCCGAGUAGUCCCUGUCUCUUAUAA
rnacentral:rRNA from 1 species